rnacentral:lncRNA from 1 species
CUUUUUUUUUGGAAAAAUGUUUUAUUUAAACCUUUUUAAUCUUUUACAACAAUAAAAUAUUGCGUCAAUAUAAACCCCUUGACUAAAACUUCACAUCAAACAUUACAGCGAAUUGUUUUCUUUUUGACAUCCAACUUAUCUGUGAAAGAAUUUCCUUUUAAACACAAUGCAGAAUUUAUUGAAAAUAAAUAAUUGUUGGCAACUGCAAUAGGCAAUUUGAAUAAAAUAGUUGAAAAAGCAACUCUUAAUGAAAAUAGCGUUUAUUAUACAUCAGUUACUAAAUGAAUAAACUAAAUGAUCUUUCUUUAAAUUAAUAACUUCAAAAACGUUUAAUAUACAAAACUGUACAGUUAUAAAGUCGGCAGAAAUAUUUGGGUUAACUCAGGUUCGAACCAUAGCAAUUAACUGCAAAGAAAAAAAAUCGAAACAAACAAAAAACUCCCAACAGUUGUAAAACAUGAACUCAGUGUGGGGGAAAAAAAAAUAAAAUCCCAGAACUAAAACCUAACUACCAACAGAAUGCAGAGACUUGACAAAAAAGUAGAAGGGUCCGGGAUUUGAAUUAACACAUGCUCUUCGACCUGCAGCUGAGGGAGACACAGUGUGGUGGACCAGAGGCCUGGCAACUCAUACUAACGCAUCCUCGACAACCGGGCCGGGCUUUCUGGUCCUUAGGUAGUUUGAAGCUUUGUCUACAGCAGCUGCGCCUAAAGGCCGGACUAGGCGGCCAGCAGUGGCGUGCAGCGCCCCCAGCCAGGUCUGGCCGGCGGCGGCUGGGUGUUGGGUGCUUGGCCGGCCUCACACGUGUGUGCUCCUUGGGAAUGAGGUUCGCCUGUGGACCUGGUGUGUGGAUACUAGCUAGCAAUAAAGCCACAGCAACUGCAUAUUUUUGGGAUCUCUACACAGCCUAGCCAGGUUUUUUUUUUUUUUUGUACUUUUUGUUUUUGUACAUAGUAACGCGAUACACACAGCUAUCUACACACACACGUUUGCACGCGCACGCACACACACACACGCACAGAGACACAUACACACAGAGAUUUAAAAAUAUAUAUAUAUUUAUAUUUUAAAAAGCAGGAACCCAGCCUCCCGGGCGCUCGCUAGCUCGCUGGAUCGUCGCUGUGGGCUUCCACCAGCUGUGCUUAUCAGAAACGCCGAGACAGCUCCCCACGAGCCCACACACAGACAGCGGUAUAUACAUGGGGGGAGAGGUGGUACGCGGAUGGACCAGAAUCCCUGUGACCUUUGCCAAUCAUUUCAUUGCCGUUCUGCACUGAGCAGAGAAUGCCUAUCCCCCACUCCCUCGCCACCCCUCCCCAAGGGUUUCUUACUCAGAGGGGGCGGUGAACUGGAGGUGAACCGAAAUGGGAGGCGCUGGCCCAGUCGCCAGCGUCUCCGGGUCGUGAUCUCCAGUGAAAGUAAUCGCGUGUGAAGGCAAAGUCUUUCCUCUAGGAGGGCCGAAGUGAGGUCGCGCGGAAGGUCGCCCUAGCGAGGCUGGGGGCCUGGAUUUCUGCGCGCAGGAAUCCUGGAGUCCGGUGAGUGCGGAGCCCUCCCAGACUGUCAGGCCACCUCUUUGGCCCAGAGUUGCCGCCGAAUCCUUCUCAGAUACCUCGAUCUAUGCUGCGGUAGCCUGCGCGGGCUCCACACUUCCAGGAGGGAGGGCAGAAAGCUGCGAAAUCGCCGCUGCUACUUCGCACUAGUUUGCAAACCUAAUAGGCUUCCCUAUUCUGCCCUUCCUAGGCACUCCACCCCGGAAAAAAAAUAUAACCAAUAUCAUCAUCAAUAACUCUCUUCGUUGUAUCCUCUCCUCCUCAUAGAGAUUUGGGAAGGGGGGGGGCGGUGAGUAGAUAGGCAUCUCUCUCCCCGCCUAUUCCCAUUCAUCUCCUCCCUUUUCUAAGCAAUUAAAAAGCCAUCAGCUCAACGAAGUAGUAAUAAUAAUAGCAAUAAUAACAUGGAGUGGUCGAUUAGAUACAAAUUAUCUCACAAAUAUUGUGUACAGAUUGUAGUAAAACACCGCAGACAUUUAGAAACGCUAUAGAAGUUUUUAAAAAUGCAAAACUAGUCUAUUGUAAAACAAAUUUCACCUGAAAUACAGCUGCUAUAACCAAGGCGCUGAAAGGUUAUUCAGAGGCACACAUCUGUCUUCCCAAUCCCUCCCCCGCCCCACCCCGCCCCCACGUUAUCCCACUCCUUGUUCUUCCUAGAGAGGAGCGACCAAACAAACCUUACUCUGAGUAAACAAUAUGUAUUGAUCAGCAGAAAAGGCUAAAGGGAACUGUUGCCCGGGGAGCCAGGAAUAUGAGAUCCCAGCUUGGACUGCUUAAUGUAACUGUGUAUCAGCAUUGAGAAGCCUGAAUGAGAGAAACCAGACACGCACCACUUCCUUCUCCAACUGGAGGCUGUCUGCCAGCGAGGAG